UUUGUCAACAUCAGCGACACGAGAGAUUCUGUUCCUUCAAAAAAAUAGAGUUGCCCGGUAUCCUCCCGGAAUUUGAUUGCGGGUGUUGGGAAGUGGCUUCUUUCGGGACCUGGGGCAGCUGGUUUUAGAAGCCCGUCGGAGUGCGAAUGAUUUGUUUGGUCGCUAAAGUUGGGCGAUGAUUACCGGAGACUGCAUCGGUCUAGUUUUCUCCUCGCGAGAAAAGGACUGGCCGGAGCCCACCGGGUCAAGAAGAAACGCAAACAAUAAUUUGAGGAAGGCUCUAUUCACCUUAUAGGUGGAUUAAGUAACG
rnacentral:misc_RNA from 1 species